rnacentral:rRNA from 1 species
UACGAAGGGGGCUAGCGUUGCUCGGAAUCACUGGGCGUAAAGGUGCGUAGCGGGUUCUUAAGUCAGGGGUGAAAUCCUGGGCUCAACCCCAGAACUGCCUUUGAUACUGAGAGUCUCGAGACCGGAAGAGGUAAGUGGAACUGCGAGUGUAGAGGUGGAAUUCGUAGAUAUUCGCAAGAACACCAGUGGCGAAGGCGGCUUACUGGUCCGGUUCUGACGCUGAGGCACGAAAGCGUGGGGAGCAAACAGG